rnacentral:misc_RNA from 1 species
GUUAUUUUGAGUCUAGUUUCACCUCUAAUUGGCCUUACACCAAUUGGAGUCACAUUUCAGUUAUAACUCAAACAACACACUGGACUCAUAGGUCCGAAUUUCCUACAUAAGAGAAGCACUCCCAUUAUUCCAUCCUUUUUACUCCCAACUACAAUUUAUCAUUCAUAACACUUCAAAUGAUCAACAAACAGUCUCAACAAGAUCAAUCUCAAGCCAUAACACCAAGGUACCAAAAUUAAUUCAAACCCUAACUCAAAAUUUCUCAAAUAUUCAAA